AGGCUUUAACAAACCGUUCAUUCAAGUCAAGAAAGGGAAAUUUUGAUGGAGCAGCUGGAUUGCAAAUCUAGAAUGCAAUUAGGAAGUGUUCAACUUCAUCCACCACUAUCACCUCAAAGGUUUGGUUCAAAAUCAGCAAAAUUGGAGUUGGAGAUAUCAAAAUGGGAACUAUCCAGAAAUUUUGAGAUUUUAAGGGCAUCAGUCGUGUUGAAGCUUGUUCUACCCACACCUCAUGCCCAGGUGCAUAUUGAAAUAGCUGAGUAAGAAAAAUUUCAGGUGCAGGACAAUUGCCAAAUAUUGAAUGAAUGUUAACAUUUUCAGAUAAUAUUAUUUAGAAGAUAUUUAGUAGUUGAGUUGUAGGUUUUGGAUUCCAAUUGGUACACCCUAGUGUAGCCCAUAAUUACAUUAA